rnacentral:rRNA from 1 species
CUUGGUCAUUUAGAGGAAGUAAAAGUCGUAACAAGGUUUCCGUAGGUGAACCGGCGGAAGGAUCAUUAUCGAGUUUUUGAAACGGGUUGUCGCUGGUCCCAUUCUUAACAGAGUCGGGACAUGUGCACACCUGGCUUCAUUCCACUCUUCAACCCCUGUGCACUUGUUGUAGGUUUCAGGUCGGACGCGGGGCUUUCGACUUCAUCGUCGAGAGCUUCAAGGAGAGCCUGAGCCUAUGUUUUACUACACACACGCUUCAGUUAUAGAAUGUAAACAUCGCGUAUAACGCAUUUUAAAUACAACUUUCAGCAACGGAUCUCUUGGCUCUCGCAUCGAUGAAGAACGCAGCGAAAUGCGAUAAGUAAUGUGAAUUGCAGAAUUCAGUGAAUCAUCGAAUCUUUGAACGCACCUUGCGCUCCUUGGUAUUCCGAGGAGCAUGCCUGUUUGAGUGUCAUGGAAUUCUCAACCUUUGAAAGCUUUUAUUGGUUCUCAAAGGCUUGGACUUGGAGGUCGUGUCGGCUCUGCAAAGAAUGUCGACUCCUCUGAAACGUAUCAGUGCGAACCUUUACGGAUCGUCUUCGGUGUGAUAAACGUCUACGCCGUGGUCGUGAAGUAUGAUCGUGUCCGUGCUUCUAACCGUCUCCUUUGCGAGACAAAAACUGUGUUACUUACUAUAAGUAAACAUAGGCAUUGACAAUCUGACCUCAAAUCAGUAGGACUACCCGCUGAACUUAAGCAUAUCAUAAGCGGAGGA